rnacentral:tRNA from 1 species
GCCCCGGUAGCUUAGUGGUUAGAGCGGCAGCCUCGUAAGCUGUUGAUCGCGGGUUCGAAUCCCGCCCGGGGCUCCA